rnacentral:rRNA from 1 species
AGCAGCCGCGGUAAUUCCAGCUCCAAUAGCGUAUAUUAAAGUUGUUGCAGUUAAAAAGCUCGUAGUUGAAUUUCGGGGUUAGCAGGUCGGUCGUGCCAUCGGUAUGAACUGGUCUCGCUGAUCCCUCCCUCUUGACGAACUGUGAUGCCAUUAAUUUGGUGUCGCAGGGAAUCAGGACUGUUACUUUGAAAAAAUUAGAGUGUUUAAAGCAGGCUCACGCUUGAAUACAUUAGCAUGGAAUAAUGAAAUAGGACGUUUGAUCCUAUUUUGUUGGCUUCUAGGAUUGACGUAAUGAUUAAUAGGGAUAGUUGGGGGCAUUAGUAUUCAAUUGUCAGAGGUGAAAUUCUUGGAUUUAUUGAAGACUAACUACUGUCGAAAGCAUUUGCCAAGGAUGUUUUCAUUAAUCAAGAACGAAAGUUAGGGGAUCGAAGACGAUCAGAUACCGUCGUAGUCUUAACCAUAAACUAUGCCGACUAGGGAUCGGAUGAUGUUAAUUUUUAAUGACUCAUUC